rnacentral:misc_RNA from 1 species
GAAAUCGCCGGCUUAGCCGGUAUAAAAUUCUAUCCACCCUUGUGUGCAAACAAUGGAAGAAAAGAGAGCCAUUUGGAUACUUUUGUAUCCAAUCUCUCUAAAAUUUUUAUAAACUCCAUCAAAUUUUGAAUAAAACUAUUUUUUUUUUAAAUAAAAAUAUUAUA